UAUGAUUAUCCGAUUUCCUUUUCAAAAUCAAGUUUCUACUUUUUCCUCCUUAUAGUUAUUUUGUGUUUGAUUUGUAGUUAUACUAGGUAGAUGCAUAGAUUUAGUUUUGUUUGUUUUUGGAUUUGACUGUUAUACCUGAUGUAAAAAAGCAGGGUCCUGUUGCCCAUGUGAAUAGGUCUCUCGUAAACUUCAGGGAAAUCAGUGUCAUUGUUAUUGGGUGAACCUCUGUUUUCUUUCCCUUGUUUGUGGCUGAAGGUUCAGUAAAUGAUGGCACAUUUUUUUGACCCACGAAAUUUAUGUAUGUCUGAUUGAUUCCCGCUUGUUAAUGUUGUUUUCAAAAUGAGAUCUCUAUUUGUUUUAUUUUUUGUACCCAACAAUUUUUUUCUAUGUUGUUUCUCGUGCUGCAUAGCCCUAUAUACGAUGAAACUUUUUAAUUUUCUUUCUAAACAUCAUCACGGUUAUGAAAGCUAAUGAUAAAGUUCUAAGCUUGUUUUUUACUCUUUAUUUUAAACCUGAUGAAAAAGCAGUGCCUUGUUACCUAUUGUGAACUGGGUUCUCGUAAACUUCAGGGAAAUUGUUUUCAUUGUUAUUGGGUGAACCUCUUUUAUUCACAUUGACUGUUGGUUCAGUAAAUGAUGGAAAAUUACUAUCAAAAUAGCGUGGUUGUCAUUAAUGAAACUCACUUUACUGUCAAACGGUUAAGUAAAGUAAUGCGUUAAUGCUAAACUGUUUUUCACCUUUUUAAUUUUAACCUGAUGAGAAAAGCAGUGCUUUGUUGCCUUUUGUGAACUAGGCCCUCGUAGACGUCAGGGAAAUUAUUUUCAUUGUUAUUGGGUGAACCUCUGUUAUUUGCUUUGACUGUUGGUUCAGUAAAUGAUGAAACAAUACUAUUCGAAUAGCGUGAUUGUCUAUAAUAAAACCCACUUUACUAUCACUGGCUCAGAAAGGUAAUGCAAUAAUGCUAAACUGUUCUUCACCUUUUUAAUUUUAACCUGAUGAGAAAAGCAGUGCCUUGUUGCCUAUUGUGAACUGGGUUCUCGGUACACUUCAGGGAAAUUGUUUUCAUUGUUAUUGGGUGAACCUCUGUUAUUCUAGUGACUGUUGGUUCAGUAAAUGAUGAAACAUUACUAUCAGAAUAGCUUGUCUAUAAUAAAACCCACUUUACUAUCAAAUGGUUCAGAAAGGUAAUGCAAUAAUGCUAAACUGUUCUUCACCUUUUUAAUUUUAACCUGAUGAGAAAAGCAGUGCCUUGUUGCCUCUUGUGAACUGGGCUCUUGUAAACUUCAGGGAAAUUGUUUUCAUUGUUAUUGGGUGAACCUUUGUUUUUCACUGUGGCUGAAGGUUCAGUAAAUGAUGGAACAUUACUAUCAAAUUGCUGGGUUGUCACUUGUCUGUAAUAAGAUUCACUUUGUUUUUCUUUAUUUGGAAAUUGUAUGUAUUGCUCUUACUUGAUGGCCUGUGGCAGAAUGUUUUUCCAAAUCCUGCUGAAGUUAAAGAUUAUGGGUAAACAUUGUUCUUGAUUUUGCUUUUGUGCCUGUUGCUAAUGGUUUAAAUGCUGAAUUUUUUUGCCCUAGUAUAUUAGUAGUUGUGUGUUUGAGUUGAUAUUUAAUGAAAUACUUUGUUAAGCUAAUAUUCCUUUUCACCCAAUUUGAAAGUAGCAGCG
rnacentral:lncRNA from 1 species